GGGGGCGAAUGGGCUCGACGGGGUGGGAAGAAGCAGGGCUGCGAGCCGAGGUUCCAGGGUCCUCGGAAAAAACCUGGACGACGCCUUAAGCGUCAACCAGCCUGUGCUCGCCGCCGCGGCGUAAUCCCCGCGGCCGCCCGCCCGGCCUCGCCGACGGGCCGGGGGAGGGUGUGAUGAGUCGGCUGCGCCGCACCGCCUUCGUCCCGGGCGGUGCGGCAAAGACGAGCGGGACUAGUGCCUGAGGGAUCCCGCCUGCGGGAGCCAUCAGGCGCGAAACGAAAACGCAGGCUACGCUCGUAGACGCUCUGCCCUCUCUCACUCCGGACGCGGGUUCGAUUCCCGCCGCCUCCACCA
rnacentral:tmRNA from 1 species